AGGGAACCCACGUUUUCAUUUUGCACUGGGCCCCGCAAAUUAUGCAGCGUAUCCUGUUUGUCAGCUUCGUUCCGUUAGUAAUUUCUUGUGAUUUAUUUUCACAUCCUACAGAAAUGUUCGUUUUCUACCUAAUUUUGCACACUCUUUGUCAAAGAGAGUCCCCAGAAUGGUAAAAUCUUCAGAUCCCCGCAUAAGCCGCACCCUCCGCGACACCCCAAUAUCCCCCUUAUCUUGAGUGAUUCAAUCACAUUAAUUUUCCCCCCCCUCAUACUUUUUCAUACAGUAAGCCUAUAGAGCUCUUAAGAUCAGUGGGAGGGGGAAAAAAAUCCCCCCCAAGAGAGUGUCAUUUCAAAAACUAAACGAAAUCGCUGUCACCCGAGGGGAAGCCGGAAACCCGGCAGGGGGCAAGUUCGCAAGCAUUCGGGGUCCUGCGUAGGGGUCCCCGGAGCCUGCCCUCCCUCCCGGCCUGCUCCCGGAGCGUCCCCUUUAAGGGGCGGGGCAGGGGCGGGGCCUGGCGGCCACCCGCUCUCCCAAGCUGCCCCGCGCGCGCGCCGGCAGUUCGGCCACGUCCCUGGCCACGUCGCGCCCGCUCUCGCCAUCUUCGCAGCUUCCUGUCUGUGGCCGCCGCCGCCGCUGCCUAAGCCGCGGAGCCUGGGGCCGCCGCGCAGACCGCCGCCGCCAUGAACAUCUUCCGGUUGACCGGGGACCUGUCCCACCUGGCGGCCAUCGUCAUCCUGCUGCUGAAGAUCUGGAAGACGCGCUCCUGCGCCGGAACACCACAUCUUUGGCUGCUGUCUUCAGGCCUCACCUGUCUCCCUGGAACAUAGCUGAAAUCCAGGAAGUAAGCAAAACCAAAAAAGACCUUUGAACAAUCAAAGUGGAUGUUACAAAGUCCAUGUACUGAAGCUGGUGUGUUUGGCUUGGAGGUGAUCUCUCAAUUUAUGUAUAGCUCUGAGAGGUUCAGUUGUAUGAUUUCCAAUGACAGCGAAGUAAUUUCAGCGAUUGUGAUAGCUGACAUUUAAGCGCGUGCUGUGUAUUAGGUAGUGAGCUAAGUACCUUAUAUGGCUUAUCCCAUGCAGUCCUUGAAAUAACCUUAUGAGGUGAGUGCAGUUGCCCCCAUUCCGUGGACCAGGGAACUGAGGCUCAGGGAGGUGAGAAAAUUAGUGCCAGGGUUGGAACACAGGUGAUCAGUAACUCACAAUUCAGGAUUUGAAUAAAUAUCUAUUUGGCCUGAAUAAUUUUGUUUUAAAUUAUUCAAAAUUAUUCAGGUGAGUAGUUUAGGUCAUUUUCUGUUGCACUCAGGAAAUGUUAUUUUCUAUCCCUGCUUUAUUGAGCUGUAAUUGACAUAUAACAUUAUAUUAGUUUUAGGUGUACAACGUAAAAAUUUGAUACGUGUAUUGUGAAAUGAUUACCACGCUGCAGCUGGGGCUUCCCUGGUGGCGCGGUGGUUAAGAAUCCGCCUGCCAGUGCAGGGGACACGGGUUCCAGCCCUGGUCGGGGAAGAUCCCACAUGCCGCGGAGCAACUAAGCCUGUGCACCACAACUAUUGAGCCUGUGCUCUAGAGCCUGCGUGCCACAACUACUGAGCCCGCUUGCCAUAACUACUGAAGCCCACGCACCUAGAGCCUCUGCUCCACAACAAGAGAAGCCACUGCAGUGAGAAGCCUGCGCACCGCAACGAAGAGUAGCCCCCGCUUGCUGCAACUAGAGAAAGCCCGUGUACAGCAAUGAAGACCCAACACAGCCAUAAAUAAAUAAACAAAUAAACAAACAAAUAAAUAAAAACAAACAUAGCUGCAGCUAUAGAACCACGGGGCUUUUUCUCCUUAGGGUAAGGGAUGAGACAGGUGAGUGAGGAAGAUUCUGUUUUCUUGAACGACUGCCUUAAAGGACCUAUUUUAAAGUGAGGGCGGGAGAGUUGAUCUUGGUUUAGUUUGAACUGGCAUUCUCCGGUGUCUGCCGUUGUCAUGACAGAGGGGUACCCAAAUUAAGUGUGAGUUCCUCAUCUUCCUGAACUGUGACUGCAGCAGGAUCCACAGUAUGCUCAAGUUGUCACUUUACUGUCUUCAGCACUGACCUGGGUAGUGUUGGAAGAGCAAGCCUUGGUUUGUAGGUGAAGGAUUUCCUGUCUACAUUUUCCUGUAGGCUGAUAGUUAUUAUUAGUACUGUAUCUAUUGUGCUUAAAGUACUAGUGGAGUUCUUCUGAGCUCCUAGGCUCCCAGCCAUCCUCCUUUAGUCCUCCCCUUCCCUCCUCCACCUAUUGCUUAGAUUGUUGUCGUGUAAGUUGCAGACUUUUCAUUCUCCUGAAGAUGACAGCAAUGUACAGUGUACCUGCAUUUCUUGUAAUUGGACAGUUUAUAUAUACAUAUAUAUGUGUGUGUGUGUAUGUAUAUAUAUAUUUGCCUUUAUAUUUUGAAUUUAUUAGGAGAUAGUUUUUUUGCAAUGAAUGUAUCUAAUUUACAAAAAGCAGCCAUUUUCUUGACUCUUAAAUGUGUUGAAGUUUUAGGUUUUAAUAUGUUUCGUCUUAAAUUGUCUGAAGUAGUACGCAGUGUCUGGUAUUUUGAUUGAUUGGUUGAUUUUUGUAGUUGCUUUUCCAGAUGUGGGGAGUUUUUUCCCUCUUUUUUUUUUUUUUUUUGUUUAUUGAAGUGUGGUUGGUUUACGGUGUUAAGUUAGUUUCAGGUGUACAGCAAAGUGAUUCAUAUAUAUGUGUGUGUCUGUAUGUCUAUAUAUAUAUUCUUUUUAAGAAUCUUUUCCCUUAUAGAUUAUUACAAGAUAUUGAAACAGAAUGUCCUUGUUGUGCUAAACAGUAUGUCCUUGUUGUGACAGUUUAUAUUUUUGAAGUACAUGGAAAAGACCUCCUCUUUUAUUGUCACUGAGCACUUCAGGAGGCUUUUGCCUCACAUUCCCAGCUCCCUCUUGGUAGCAGCUGUCACCUUUGUUCUUUUGCGUGCCAGUCUCAUGAGUAAUCGUUGCUCUCACUUCCUGACCACCCACCAUGUGCAAAGGCACUGGGGACGCAGUCCAGAGCAGCAGCUUGUUGCUGUCAAAGUUUCUGCUCUCAAGAAAGCUGCAAUUUAGUUGAAAUCAUAAGACAUAUAUAAAAAGAUAAAAACACAGGGUAUCAAACCAUAUAGCCAGUAAAUCCUAUGGAUGUGAAGUGGCAAGAAAGGCCCUAGGGAAGGCUCCCUUAAUUUUCCAACAAGGAGGGUAUAAGCCCUGUAUGAGGAAAAGUAUGAAGCUUUGCUAAUGGACAUAGAAGGUGACCUUGAAUGUAUGUUCAUACCAGUGUCCUGGAUAGGACCAGGCAGGCUGGUGAGGAAGCAAGAUGAUUUGUCUCCCCAAAUUAACUUACUAAUUCAGAAUAUCAUCAAAGUUAAAAGAUAAUAAGCCAAGAGAAAUAAUCUGCAAUAUAUCUAAGUGACAGAAGGUUAAUAUCCAUAAUAAAAUACUCCUACAAAUUAAAAAAACCAACCUGAUAGAUAAAUGGGCAAUGUUGGCAGUUCACAGAGGAAUAACAGAAGGCCAGUUAAACAUGAAAGAAUGCCUUGCCUCACUAGAAGUUAGGAAUUUAGAUAUUAAAAUAGCAGCGCAUGCCAUCAUUUGCUGCUGGGUGGGAAAAAGUCAGGUUUACAAGAUCUGAUGUAGGCAGGGGUGUGAAGUAAGGCAUAUUCUCAUCUGGUGUUAAGGAAUAUGUAAAUUGGCACAGCCUAUGUAGAGGAAAUUUGACAGUGUUUCAAAACAAAGUGUUUAUUUUAUCCCAGCAUUUCUAGGGAAUUUGAACUACAGAAAUUGUCAUAUAUGUGAACAAACUAUAUAUAGGUAUAAAGAUGUUUGUUGUACAUAAAUAAAUACAAAACACUGUUUAUAGAUACAAAGAUGUUCAUGCAGUGUUUAUAAGAACAAAAAUUGUACACACCCAAAUGUCUAUUAGUGGAAGGGUCACACAAAUGUCGGUACCUGCACACUGUGGAGCACUAUGCAGCCAUGAAAAAGAAUGAGCUAGAAGUAUUAACAGGAGAAGGUAUAUCUGAAACACUGCGUUAACAGAGCACAUUGUAAAGCAAGAGAUUGUAUGGCCCCAUUUUAAGGGGCAAACGUGGGUACACAUAUAAAUACACAUAUAGAAAGCAGCUUUAACAAAAAGCCUGGAACGUUGCACUUAAAAUGGAGGUGGGAGGGGUGUUAAAAAGGUCCUUUUGAUUUUUAUUCCAUGUAUGUUAGUCCAGUUGGUAUUUUUAAUAAAAUGGCAUGGAUUUCUCUGAAAACAAGAAAAGAUGGCAAAGUGAUACAUAGUAAUAGCUGUCAUUUAUUGAGCAUUUUCAGCAUGGCAGGUAUAGUCAAAACCACUUUUUCCAGUAGUCCCACAAUUUGGCAUAAUUUGUCCCCAUUUGACAGAUGCAGAAAGUGAGGUUUAGGGGGGCCAAGAAUGUAAUGGGCCCUGACUUACCUGGUGCAUUCAAGGGCUGAGCUUGAACCCAGACCUUCUGGCUCCAAAGCCUCUCUUUCCCCAAGUCCCAAGAGCUGUGUUAUGAGUCAGGUGCUGACUGUUGGGCUGCUGGUUCCAGGGUAAGUUAAUGGCCUUUAGGAGAGCAUCUGGAUCCUUUGAGACAAUGGGUCAGAGCAUGGUGCCUGGGACCCUUGUUGAAUGCUGCCAUGCAGAUUAUCCUGGUAGUCUGACCUACAGUGCUUGGUUGCAUCCCAGCUGUUGCCAGGACAAAAAUAAUUCAUUGAACGCUUUUCUGUUUGGUUGAGGGCUUUGUUCUAUA